rnacentral:lncRNA from 10 species
AUCAGCAUGUGCAAAGAUGAAGAGGCAUAAGGACUGACCAGUGGGUCACGGCAAUGAGACAUUUACUGCUGACCUCCAAGAGAAGACUUCCAUUGAAUGAGAGGAAGAUCUACACUACUAAUGAUCAAACUUACCUGGAGCAGUAUCUGACACAGAUAUGUGUUGAGUGAAUGGAUGAAUAAAUAGAUAGAAGGAAGAUCCUCCAACUAUGAAGUUUCUUCUUUUCUUCUGCUGCUGUUGAGUAGAUGAGGGUGCCAAGAAAUAAGACAGCAACACCAGGAAGAAGAACAAAUUUGGGGCAGGAAGUGGAAGAGUAGGUUUGAAAUGCUCCAUGGGACUUGACUGCUGUGCUAUGCUCUCUCCACUGCAGGAUCUCUAAUGCCUGUCAUCUGCGCCAUGGGCUUUAGUUCAAGUGAGUCUUCCUCCUACCUUCCGUGCUUUGGUGGAUGAUUUCAAGUUUAAGAGUGACGGAAUGCCAUGAAUUUUCAUGCUGCCUACAUUUCAGUAAGACAACCUUGCUGGAUUUCCCCCUCCAUUUUGGAUUAUAAAAUCUAACCCCUGCGGAACAUCCUUUCACUUGGAGAGAAAAAUUUACUUGGAAAAAUUUCACUUGGAGAGAAAACCAAGAAAGCUUCUUGGUUUCCUGAACUAUUUUGAUUAUCUGUGUAGAUAUGGCUUAUAGUAUUGAAAUGAGGUGGCAGAAAGAGUAGUAGUGAUAAAAAUGGAGAAGAGAAAGGUCAAGUGAGUUUCAGUGAUUUUGCCAACUAAAUUCUAGGAUCCUUAAUGAAAAAAAUGUGACCACCUUUAUCACUUUCCAGGAUCAUCCUGUAUUUUCAAGUUUCAGUAGGUACCCUUUUACUGUGAUGGAAAGAAAUGCUUGACUUGGGUCUAUAUAUUUAAAUUUAUUUUU